GGGGGGGGCUGGAUCACUCCUUUCUAGGAUAUUACGGAAAAAAAAUUCCAAUUGCCCCCCGGGAAAGGGGGGAGAGAUUUAACUCUCAAUUUUCUUCUUUGAAAACUAGAUAAUAUCAAAUAUAUUUUUUCAUAAUGAAACCGAGAACACCGCGUUUUUUGAGUUUUUUAUUGAAGUUUAAUUAUCGCUAAACUCAUUAAUCGCAUUUACCGUUAGGUAAAUGAGGUUAAGUUAACAAGGGCGCAUGGUGGAUGCCCUGGCACUCAAA
rnacentral:misc_RNA from 1 species